AUUGAACGCUGGCGGCAUGCUUUACACAUGCAAGUCGAACGGUAACAGGCCGCAAGGUGCUGACGAGUGGCGAACGGGUGAGUAAUGCAUCGGAACGUGCCCAGUCGUGGGGGAUAACGCAGCGAAAGCUGCGCUAAUACCGCAUACGAUCUAUGGAUGAAAGCGGGGGACCGUAAGGCCUCGCGCGAUUGGAGCGGCCGAUGUCAGAUUAGGUAGUUGGGGGGGUAAAGGCUCACCAAGCCAACGAUCUGUAGCUGGUCUGAGAGGACGACCAGCCACACUGGGACUGAGACACGGCCCAGACUCCUACGGGAGGCAGCAGUGGGGAAUUUUGGACAAUGGGCGCAAGCCUGAUCCAGCAAUGCCGCGUGCAGGAAGAAGGCCUUCGGGUUGUAAACUGCUUUUGUACGGAACGAAAAGGCUCUGGUUAAUACCUGGGGCUCAUGACGGUACCGUAAGAAUAAGCACCGGCUAACUACGUGCCAGCCGCCGCAGUAAAAC
rnacentral:rRNA from 1 species